CCACUCCCUAAUAAUAAAAAACGACCAUGUCAACAUUAGUAUCACUAAAUUAAUAUUGAUAGUGCAACUUUAACUCAAUAUAUUAGUCUUCCGUGACUUUUUUAAGGAUUUAUGACGUAUCUGAGUUUAUUGAAUGACCUAAGUUGAUCAUAUUUCGGUUCGUUGUAAUAAAACACCACUAUAUUUUUCACAAUUCUCAACAAUCCUCUCUUACAUUUUUUGGCAUUCUCGUCCCUUAUAGCGUGUCUUCUUUCUUCCCUUUCGACGUUCUGUUUGCUAACAAAACCUGUUGUAGCACUCCAGGCGAAAUUUGCAGUAGGCUGGUGUUGGCAGAAAACUCUUAACAUUAUCUGUGUGCAUAAGUUUCACCUCCGAAUCAUGUGCGAUUUCGUCCUCUUUACAAAUAAAUUUCUUCCACUUUGCGGCGAAUAUCACAAAACUGCACCAUAAUGUAUAUUGCAUUAUUUAUUAUAUGCAUAUAAUGCAAAAAUCUUUCCCUGGCCGUCUGCCUUCACCGACGGACGCCAUAUUUGUUUACAACUAGUCUUUG